rnacentral:rRNA from 1 species
GAUGGACAACAGGUUGAUAUUCCUGUACUACCGAUAACCGUUUGAGAGAAGGGAUGACACAGUAGGAUAAGCUAAGCACACUGUUGGUUAUGUGUGCCCAAGCAUUGAGGCAGUCAAAGUAGGCAAAUCCGCUUUGAUAAUGCUGGGAUGUGAUGGGGAGCGAAAUUUAGUAGCGAAGUAGCUGAUUUCACACUGUCAAGAAAAGUCUCUAUCGAGGUUAAAGGUACCCGUACCGCAAACCGACACAGGUGGGUGAGGAGAGUAUCCUAAGGCCAGCGAGAGAACUGUUGUUAAGGAACUCGGCAAAAUGACCCCGUAACUUAGGGAUAAGGGGUGCCACCAUCAGGUGGCCGCAGAGAAUAGGCCCAAGCGACUGUUUACCAAAAACAUAGGUUUCUGCUAAGUCGCAAGACGAUGUAUAGGAGCUGACGCCUGCCCGGUGCUGGAAGGUUAAGGGGAUCUGUUAGAGCAAUCGAAGCAGUGAACUUAAGCCCCAGUAAACGGCGGCCGUAACUAUAACGGUCCUAAGGUAGCGAAAUUCCUUGUCGGGUAAGUUCCGACCCGCACGAAAGGCGUAACGAUUUGGGCACUGUCUCAACAACAGACUCGGUGAAAUUGUAAUUCCGGUGAAGAUGCCGGAUACCUGCGACAGGACGGAAAGACCCCAUGGAGCUUUACUGUAGCUUGACAUUGGGUCUUGGUACUACAUGUACAGGAUAGGUGGGAGGCUUUGAAACCAGGACGCCAGUUUUGGCGGAGCCAUCCUUGGGAUACCACCCUUGUAGUACUGGGACUCUAACCAUAGGCCAUGAAUCUGGUCUUGGGACACUGUCAGGUGGGCAGUUUGACUGGGGCGGUCGCCUCCCAAAAGG